UACGUAGGGUGCAAGCGUUAAUCGGAAUUACUGGGCGUAAAGCGUGCGCAGGCGGUUGUGCAAGACCGAUGUGAAAUCCCCGGGCUUAACCUGGGAAUGGCAUUGGUGACUGCACGGCUAGAGUGUGUCAGAGGGGGGUAGAAUUCCACGUGUAGCAGUGAAAUGCGUAGAGAUGUGGAGGAAUACCGAUGGCGAAGGCAGCCCCCUGGGACUAACACUGACGCUCAUGCACGAAAGCGUGGGGGAGCAAACAGG
rnacentral:rRNA from 1 species